UGUGCAAGACCACUGCAUGGGGUCCUGUUUUCCCAUUCUUUAUAACUUCCUAGCCUGUUGGAAAUCCCUUAAUUCUGCAUGUAGACAACAACAGGACAUUGAGAUUCUUUCAUUUGGACCCUGAACAAGAUGUCAGUCACAGUGGUCAUGCAAUCAGAGCCCUUUGCCUGAAGGUUAUACAGUGAAAUUCAACUUUCUUACCUGCCUUUGUCAGUCCAGGCUCAGGAUUUUGGUUCCUACACAGCAGGUGUGGGUGCGGAGCAUUGCCCAAGUGUGAGUGCAGACUGAGAAUGUGACCUUUCAGAGAAAUGCAGACCCAUACCUGACAGUUUAGGGCUGCUCAGGCACGGCACGUGUUGCAGCAGCGCUGGCGGGGGCUCAGCUGACGGUGGGACCUUCCAGCUAACGUUGGACACAAAGAGCAACUGACCUCACAUCUCAAGGGAAUACCACAGGUUCCACUUACCUGGAGCUGUGUGUCUGCCAGGACCGUCUCUCCAUUAGACACUCCCAGCACCCUCACAAAGCAGCUGAUAUCCUCUCUGGACCGCUCAGCACCAGAUUAGAGUCCUGCCACCAGCUCCCUGUGUUUGAAAGGUAGUGGGUGCACACCUGGCAACUGAGGGUCUGGAAAUGUACCACAUUAAACUCUUCUCAAAGCAAAACACAUUUUCAAACUCACCUUUAGCCUGAUUGAGGCCCCACUAUACCCACUUUUGGGAAUGUUUUUCAUUCUUAAUGACCAAAGAAAUAGCCUACCUUUCUUUUUUGGCAAAGAGGGCUCAAUUAUUUCAUUGAGAGGGGCAGCAUCAGCAGUGUUAGCUUUCUUCUCUUUUUAUAGCUUAAUGAAAAAGCAUAAGAAUGAUGCUUAGAAACAAUAGGGUUGACUCAUAAGGGAUGACUGUAUGUGACUCAUAAGAUGUGAAAUUAUUCCAGAAACUUGAAGUAUAUGUACAUGUGCUGAGACUUGGACUUGGGGGGGUUAUUUUUCGUAACUGGAAGAAGAAUACUUACUGUGUAUUUUGAGAUGUGCCUGACAUACAGUAACAUGUUCUGUACAAUUGUAUAUGUGACUAAUGAGAUUCCGUGGCCUUUCUAUGAUAUUCCCAGUCCUUGAGGAAAUUGAGCAUUAAUGAUGCUUUCCACAUCCUUUGCUUUAACUUGGAAGGCUACUGCGGAUGGCUGAUACAGGGGGAACUGUAAGUUUCUAAAGAAACUUCUUUUGAUACAGAUAGCAUGAGAAGGAAGUUCCCAAACCAAGGGUUAAUCUAGGAGGAUCCACAGAAUUGUCCUAGGGUUUUUGCACUGAUUGGCGCCAGCUUUGCCAGUUUGCUUUGGAAGCUAGGAAAGCCUGACUGAGAUGUCUGUGCAAGGGAAGUUACACCCUGAGGGUUAAUGGCUGAUCUCUUUAAGCAGCACAAUUACGCACCAAGCAUCCCUGAGUGACAAAGAUACCUUUUCACUGUUGCAGCCUAACAAAUCCUUUUGAUCCCUUAAUUGUCUCGUUCAAUUAGAAAAGAAAGAUGCCACUUGCUUUCCCUCUGCUGAGCAUGUCCUUGCGGUCAGUUGGGUGCAGGCAUCCUCGGAGCAAGACUUGGGGUCUGAGCUGGACAAGCACUUACCCAGGGAGCUUCAUUGGUUUUCCAGCCCAGAAUAGGCAUUUGCAGCUUUUCAUUACCAUGUGUUGGCAAGAAAAUGGCAUUGGGAUAGAUUAAUGAAAUGAGCCUGCUUGAAUGGGGCUACUAAGCUAUCGAUCAGUUUCCCCUAAACCUGCUUGGUUUUCCUGGGUCAUAACUGAAGCUACUUUUUCCUUAAAAUGAAGAAAGCUCAUGGGAUUACAUCUGCCAACAUUAUUUUCAGAUACUGUGACAUGUAGUGGCAUCUUGUCCCAUUAAUUUGCAACUUGGAGAACAUAAAGAUGUUAAAAGAAUAGGUCAUGGUAGAAGGGGAUAGUUCAUAACACAUCUGAAUUUGAGGGACCUGUUAUUCCACUCCUCUCAGGUUUAUAGUUUCCUUUAUUUGGCUGCCUAUGACACAAACAGCAGCUUUUCCUCAUAUGCAUAUAGGUCCUUACUCACUGCCCUUGGACUCUGUGCCAAGGUCCUGUUAUUGAGGUGCAUGAACAACCUAACCUUAAGGGAGCAUGUCUUUGGUAUGGUUUUGAUUUAAAAUUAAUGCUUCCUGUGCCACAUACAAUUGUUUAAUGUGGGUUGUGGGGUUGCUAUCUGAGAAAACCAACCAAGUUUGCAGUUAAUGCAAGCAGCUGAGUUACCUUCUCUCCUUUUUUGAAGAGCAAUCAGGUGGGAUGGGAGGGAGACCAUUGAUGAAACUCAGGUGGUCUUUAGGCCACAUCCCAGGUGACAGUCAUUUCCAAAAUGACCUUUGUAUGUUGGGCUGUGCACAUGCUUGGGUGGGAGGAGAGCACACAGCAUUUUCCUGCAGUGCUAGAGGAGCUGAUGUGAGAUCAUAGGUUGGAGGAUUUUAUUGGGAAAGUUGCACCCUGUGCCUGCCCAGAGAGCCCCAGCCUGGCUGAUGUGGUUCUGAACAUGCCAUGGGUAUGUGUUAAAGCACUGGUCACCUCUUCUCUCUGUACUCCACUUGCAAUUGCUUAUCAAAAGGAACAUGAAGAGGCUGUCAUAGUAGCAUGCCAUGCUAUAAAUAAUGGCUUUGCUGUGCCGAAUAUGAGCCUUUCAGUGACUGGAGCAGAGACGGCUGCUGACAGAAGGCUGAAUUGUUCAGCAACAGCAGACACCAGGAUUAAGUGUGAGAUUUGGAAACUGCCUCAUAACUUGCACAGGAAUGUUAAUGUGUGACAUCAAAGAUCAUCCGUGUUGUAAGGCAUUCAUUCUCACAGUGAACUUGCUGUAGGUAGGAUUUUUCU